rnacentral:rRNA from 1 species
UACGAGUGCCUCAAGCGUUAUCCGGAAUCAUUGGGCGUAAAGGUUGUGUAGGUGGUUGUAUUAGUCUUCUGUUAAAAUUCUUCGGCUUAACCGGGGGCAUGCAGGGGAAACGGUACGACUCGAGGAUGCGAGGGGUUAGCGGAACUCAUAGUGUAGCGGUGAAAUGCGUUGAUAUUAUGGGGAACACCAAAAGCGAAGGCAGCUAACUGGAGCACUCCUGACACUGAAACAAGAAAGCGUGGGUCGCGAAUGGG